CCUACGGGAGGCAGCAGUGGGGGAUAUUGCACAAUGGGGGAAACCCUGAUGCAGCGACGCCGCGUGUGGGAAGACGGUCCUCUGGAUUGUAAACCACUGUCCCCAGGGACGAAGAUGACGGUACCUGGGGAGGAAGCUCCGGCUAACUACGUGCCAGCAGCCGCGGUAAUACGUAGGGAGCGAGGGUUGUCCGGAAUUACUGGGUGGAAAGGGGGCGUAGGCGGGACUGCAAGUUGGGUGUCAAAUCUACCGGCUCAACCGGUAGCCGCACUCAAAACUGCAGUUCUUGAGUGAAGUAGAGGCAGGCGGAAUUCCUAGUGUAGCGGUGAAAUGCGUAGAUAUUAGGAGGAACACCAGUGGCGAAGGCGGCCUGCUGGGCUUUUACUGACGCUGAGGCUCGAAAGUGUGGGGAGCAAACAGGAUUAGAUACCCCAGUAGUC
rnacentral:rRNA from 1 species